CGCCUCAUCAGAUCAGAUCUGUCGCCGCCGCCUACAGAUCAGAUCAGAUCUGCCGACACCUGGUGCUCCUUCGCCGGCGGCGUAGUCAGCCUCCGACUCCGCCGUGGUGGCGGACGAUCUCACCACUCCGACGCGGCGAAAGCGGCGCUGGCAGAUUAAACUCCGGUUCGUGAGAGCAUUCGACAGCAGGCUCAGAACUCCGCGACGACAAUUGAAGGACGGAGGAUAGUGGAGCAGCUCGGCGGUUUCACUUCGGAGGCCAUUUGAGUUCAGCGCGGCGGAAGAGGCAGCCAUUGGAGUGCGAUGGAAAAGGG
rnacentral:lncRNA from 1 species